GGUUACCUUGUUACGACUUAGUCCCAAUCGCCAGUCCCACCUUCGACGGCUCCCUCCCACAAAGGGGUUAGGCCACCGGCUUCGGGUGUUACCAACUUUCGUGACUUGACGGGCGGUGUGUACAAGGCCCGGGAACGUAUUCACCGCAGCGUUGCUGAUCUGCGAUUACUAGCGACUCCGACUUCAUGGGGUCGAGUUGCAGACCCCAAUCCGAACUGAGACCGGCUUUUUGGGAUUAGCUCCACCUCACAGUAUCGCAACCCUUUGUACCGGCCAUUGUAGCAUGCGUGAAGCCCAAGACAUAAGGGGCAUGAUGAUUUGACGUCGUCCCCACCUUCCUCCGAGUUGACCCCGGCAGUCUCCCAUGAGUCCCCACCACUACGUGCUGGCAACAUGGAACGAGGGUUGCGCUCGUUGCGGGACUUAACCCAACAUCUCACGACACGAGCUGACGACAACCAUGCACCACCUGUGAACCGGCCCCAAAAGGAGAAACCACAUUUCUGCGGCGAUCCGGUCCAUGUCAAGCCUUGGUAAGGUUCUUCGCGUUGCAUCGAAUUAAUCCGCAUGCUCCGCCGCUUGUGCGGGCCCCCGUCAAUUCCUUUGAGUUUUAGCCUUGCGGCCGUACUCCCCAGGCGGGGCACUUAAUGCGUUAGCUACGGCGCGGAAAACGUGGAAUAUCCCCCACACCUAGUGCCCAACGUUUACGGCAUGGACUACCAGGGUAUCUAAUCCUGUUCGCU
rnacentral:rRNA from 1 species